rnacentral:tRNA from 1 species
UCCCUGGUGGCUCAGAGGAUGAAGCGUCUGCCUUUAGUGCAGGAGACCUGGGUUCGAUCCCUGGGUGGGGAA